UUGUGAAUUUUAUGGCCCCAGGGUCAGGGGUUCUGGUGUUAGGGCGGGGCUCUAUAUUGAUUAUAUAAUGAGAAUGCAUUAAAUCUUUGAAAAUCUUCUUCUCUGCUCUCAUUCAAGGGGAGAUAAUUGGGAAUUUAUGAAAAUUUGGUGGCAUAUUAUAAAAAUCUUCUUCUCAAGAACCACUCUGCCAGGAAAGAUGAAACUUAUGGGGAAAUAUCCUCAGGUAGUGAAGAUUCAAAUUUGUUCAAUGACAAAGCCAUAAUUCAUCAUAUUUAUAUGGAAGCAUGCUCAGGUAGUGUAGAUUCAAGUUAUUUCAAAUCAUGACCCCGGGGGUAGGGCGGGACCAAAAUGGCCGACCAAAGUUUUUAAAGAUAUAUCAUGUAUAUAUAUAGGAAAAUUCUUUAAAAAUCAUUUUCUAAAAAAUAGCAAAUCCAUUGUCAUGGGACUACUUUUGAAUUUAAACUUUACAAUAAAAAACUUUUUUCUACUUUUUCCUACCCUUAGUGCUCAGGUGAGCGAUGUGGCCCAUGGGCCUCUUGUCUUUUUUUAGCUCACCUGAGCCGUAGGCUCAAGUAAGCUUUUCUGAUCACAUUGUGUCCGUCGUCCGUCUGUAAACUUUUCACAUUUUAGACUUCUUCUCAAGAACCACUUGGCCAAUUUUGACCAAACUUGGUACAAAGCAUCCUUGGGUAAAGGGGAAUUCAAAUUAUUAGAAUGAAGGGACAUAUCCCCUCGCAAGGGGAGAUAAUCAAGAAAAGACAAAAAUAGGGUGGGUUCAUUAAAUAAUCUUUUCUCAAGAACCACUGGGCAAGAAAAGCUGAAACUUAUGUGGAAGCAUCCUGGGUUAGUGUAGAUUCUAAAUUAUUAAAAUCAUGACCCCCGGGGGUAGGGCGGGGCAACAAUGGGGAAUCCAAGUUUCACAUAAAAAUAUAUCGAAAAAAUCUUUGAAAAUCUUCUUCUCAAGGACCAUUGAGCCAGAAAAGCUGAAACUUAUGUGCACAUGGAAGGAUCCUGGGGUAUUGUAGAUUUAAAAAUGUCUAAAUUUUGAUCAGUGGGGUAGGGUGGGGAUGCAUUAUGUAUUACAAGGGAGAAAUCUGGUAGAGAAUAGAAUGGUCAAAGCUUCUCAGGUUAGCGAUGUGGCCCGUGGGCCUCUUGUGCUUAAGGUAGAAUGCCACACCAACUUUUUAUUUUAUAGGUCUUUGAGUUAUCCUUUUAAAACAAGGGUUUCAGCAUUAAAAGGUCGAUAUUAGCUCUUAAUUAUUUUAUAUGAUUUUUUUUGUAUUUUUUCAAAGAAAAUGAAAAAAAUUAAUUAUAUCCAACUAAGAUGUUUUCGAGUUAAAAGUUUGCUGUAAAUGAAUGUAUCAUAUUAAUAUCUGAUAAAAUACGUAAAGAAAGGCUGGUUGGACUUUUUAAUUUUUUUCAUAAAAGAAAUUUAAAAAAUUAAAACACAUUAUUUGUGAAUAUUUUUUAAACCUAUGGUUAAAAUCACCAUAAUGCAAGUCACAACUGAGGACAACAUGUUUGUCAAUCAUAUUUUGAAAAGAAAUUGAAACGAAAUUGAGAAAUUUUAGAGAAAUUAUUUUUUUUUUAUAUUUGGACCUAGUUCGAUCAAAAUUAAACUGAUCCCGAUCAAAAUUAAUAAAAUGCUAAUUUACUGCCUCUUCAUGUAUUUACAAUGAAGAAAUCUAUUUUAUUGUCAGGUUCAUUAAUGUUUUAAUCCUUAUUACACUUAAUCAGACUAGUGUUCUUGGGGAAAUGUAAUUAUUUCCAAUAAAUAUACAAUUAUGGUUGGGAUCGGUUUAAUUUUGAUCGGGAUUGGCCAAAAUUAAAAAAAAUUAAUUUCUCUAAAAUUUGGCCAUUUCGUUUCAAUUUCUUUUAUAAAUAUGAUUAAUAAACAUGUUCUCCCCAGUUGUGACUGGUUUUAAGAAAAUUUUAACCACAAAUUUAAAAAAUAUUCACAAAUUCUGUUUUUUAUUUUUAUAAAUAUUUCUUUAUUUAAAAAUUUUUAAUAUCUAUACGUCUUUUCUACACAUAUUUUAUUAGAUAUUAAUGUGAUGCAUUCAUUUACAGCGAAAAUUUUAUAAGAAAUCGUCUUAUUUUGAUGGAAAUAAUUUUUUUCAUCUUCUUUGAAAAAAUACAAAAAAAUUCAUAUAAAAUAAUUGAGUGCUAAUGUCGGCCUUUCAAAUCUGAAACAAUUGUUUAAAAAGAUUGACCCACAGAUCUAUAAAAUAAUAUUUUGGUGUGGCAUUCCUCCUUAAACCUGUGCUAAAUUUUGAUUUUGCAUAGGAAUAGUAAACUUUAUUAUUAUUAUUAUCAUUAUGCUUGUCGCUAUCAGUAGCAAAAAAUAUUGUUUUAAUCAGUAAAUAGAGCCAAUCGCAAAAUACCUAAAGGAUUACAUUGUUUGUGACGAGCUGACGCUUUGCUUGUCGAGAACUUUAAAUUCUACGUCACAUUCUCGCCACAUCAAAGGACUUAACCGAGAUCGCGUCACUCCCACGCUAAAGUCCGUCAGCUGCAACAUACAGCUUGUUUUCGGGGUUCAAAAAAUGGAGUAGACAGUCCCGAUGUCGUUUUCUUCAAUGUUACCUUCAAAGUUUAAUUUUUUUUUUUUAACCUUGAAUUAAAAAAAAAGUUUUUUUAAACCUUGAAUUUAAAAAUUUAAAGAUUUUUUUCAGUCCAUUACGAAUAUUUUAAUUGGUCGAUUAUUUUAUUCUAUUAUCGCAAAAUUUACUUUUUUUCAUAUUUGCGAACAAGUAUAAAAGUCGAGUAGUGCAUGAUUCAUUGAUCAUUAGAUUUAUAAGUUACGCGUAUCAACCCAAGUCAUGCAUGCUGAGAUUGUUGCAAUUUGGUACAAAAUAUACUGGUGAAAAAUUGAUACCCUCUUUAUGCGUAUAUUCGCGAGAAAAGAUAAAGAGGGAAGGCCUGGGAAGACGUGUCUAUUUACCUUCAAAUUUUAUCGAUUGAAUUUCAAUUUAUUUUUUAGUUUUAACGAAUGUUAUAUGUACAAGGUACACAUUAAUACCAAAACGACGGAAAAUACAUGUAUCUAAUUAUCAUGGGCGUCGGAAGCAAAUUAAGGUGGGGGCUAAGGGUAAGAUUUUUUUUUACACCUCCCAAAAUAACCUGAGAAGCAAAAGAAAAAAAACAACAACAACAGACACAAACAAAAACAAGGGAUGUGUAUUUUCCAAACACAAAACUCCUAUUUCGUGGGUAUACCUACGCAGCAAUGUUCAAUGUCUAUACUAAGUCUAACUUUGGAAAAGCCACCCCCCCUCCCCCCCCCCCCAACUCUAAAAUGUGAAAUGUCUCCCAAUCAACUAUGUUCCAGUUAACUUUUUGUUUUGUUUAUUUCAAGAGUUAUUUCCCGUAGUUUGGCAAGCGCCAUAUUUAACACGUGUAAUUGUGACUUUGUGACUUUGUAUCCCUACAGUUCUUUCACUGCACCAAUACUGAAUAAAGGAGAUGAAGCCUUCUCAAUAACUGUUCCAGUAUAGAAUGGUUUAUCGACUUACGAUGUCAUAAAAAUUUGGGUGCGAGUGUCCACCAGGAAAAUUUCGAUCAAAGUACAGUACUUUGUGACAGUGGGAAGAUAGAAUUUAAAUAAUGGACAUGGCACAAUAUUACUGCAUCAGAGAUCAAUCCAGGUUUACUUAUAAUUUGAAGAAAAACAGUCAAGUGGAGCUACAUAUGUCACUGCCUUAACA